CAGCAGCCACGGUAAUACGUAGGUGGCAAGCGUUGUCCGGAAUUAUUGGGCGUAAAGGGCUCGCAGGCGGUUUCUUAAGUCUGAUGUGAAAGCCCCCGGCUCAACCGGGGAGGGUCAUUGGAAACUGGGAAACUUGAGUGCAGAAGAGGAGAGUGGAAUUCCACGUGUGGCGGUGAAAUGCGUAGAGAUGUGGAGGAACACCAGUGGCGAAGGCGACUCUCUGGUCUGUAACUGACGCUGAGGAGCGAAAGCGUGGGGAGCGAACAGGAUUAGAUACCCCCGUAGUCCCUGUCUCUUAUAC
rnacentral:rRNA from 1 species